GACGAACGCUGGCGGCGUGCUUAACACAUGCAAGUCGAACGGAAAGGCCCUGCUUUUGUGGGGUGCUCGAGUGGCGAACGGGUGAGUAACACGUGAGUAACCUGCCCUUGACUUUGGGAUAACUUCAGGAAACUGGGGCUAAUACCGGAUAGGAGCUCCUGCUGCAUGGUGGGGGUUGGAAAGUUUCGGCGGUUGGGGAUGGACUCGCGGCUUAUCAGCUUGUUGGUGGGGUAGUGGCUUACCAAGGCUUUGACGGGUAGCCGGCCUGAGAGGGUGACCGGCCACAUUGGGACGAGGAUCCGGCCCAGCUCCCUACGGGGGGCAGCAGGGGGGAUUAUUGCACAAUGGGGGGAACCCUGAUGCACCAACCCCGGGGGCGGGAUGACGCCCUCCGGGUUGUAAACCCCUUUCCCCUGGGACGAAGCGGGGGUGACGGUAAUGGGUAAAGAAGCACCGGCUAACUACGU
rnacentral:rRNA from 1 species